GAAAACAUAAUAUGUUUCUAAAUCUAAUUUUUUCAUUUUGCCUCUCCAAUUUCAGUUCCGAGGUUUUAUUCACGUUCAUUUGCGCAAAUCCCUAAUUUUUCUUUCCUUUCUUUACAGUCUCUCUGCAUCAUCUCUUCGACCGGUCUCUUCCUUAAUUUCUCAUCCCUUCGAGCGAAGAGGCGAAGCUAGUGGGGGAUAGCGAAAUCACGCAAUGGUGGUGGCUCGUGGCUGUUUUCGGUGGUGGAAUUCGCGAUUUGGGCGAAAGGUGUAGCGGUGGUGGAGCGAACUCGACGGAGUUACAACGGUAAUUGCGGGUCGAAGAAGGAGGCGUUGCGUUGGCAGUGUCUACACCUGCGACGACUCCAGGAUCUACCGGUGGUGAACUUGAAAGUUGCUCCAUCUCCCUGGCAAAAAAUUUCGCGAUUUCUCCGACAUUCGCCAGGAAAUUCAGUUUUUCCAAUCUCCUCAUGCUUCACUGAGAAAGCUAUCACUUGGUUCUGUAAAUCAAUACAUUAUGUUAAUGCCUUCUUUGCUAUUCAUGACUAGGUUUGUGCGGCAUUUGUUCACCUAAUUGAAGUCCGUCCAUCUUUCUUGGAGCCACAUUUAAGGAAUGUGANUGAACACAUGUUACAAGUCAACAAGGACACAGAUGAAGAAGUAGCCCUCGAAGCCUGUGAAUUUUGGGGAGUGGCUUAUUUGCAUGAAAAUAUGCCAUCACCCAUUAUUCACCGUGAUCUUGAACCUUCUUUCAAGGUAAAAAAAAAGAAGCUUUAUUGGGAAUGAUAUAUUUGAGAUCCUCAGUACUCGAGCUCGCAAGAAAGUAGAAAUUGAAGAUAUAAAUGUUAAUGUCUGUGUAUUUGCUUUUGAUUUGUUGCAUCUAAAUGGCCUAGAACUUCUUUAGGAAAACCUUGGAGUCCGCAGAGAGGUUUUGGAGAAGAUGGUUCCCUUGUAUGGGUGGAGGGAAAUGCUGAAAGCUUGAGUUUCCAAAAUGAUUCAAUGGAUGGUUAUACUAUUAUGAUUCAAUGGAUGGUUAUACUACUGCACUUGGGAUAAGAAAUGUCACACACAUAGUUAUUUCUUUUAUUUUAAGUGUUAGUAAAUUGUAGAAACUUGACUACAAUGUAGUGUAGGUUAAUGUUAUAGUUGGAUUUAAUAUAUGGUUUGAUGUACAAAUUAUGUAUUAAAUAUUAUUACCCAAUUUAAUGUUUGAAAUGAAUUUCAUUAUGUCAAUUUA